AAGCCAUGCUCUGCACUUCUUUGCUCUGUUCUACUGAAAUCUACUCUGCCUAAAAGCUCAAAAAUUCGAGCCUAAGUUGUAAGUACUUCAACUCUCUUUUUUCUCUUUUUUCUCUUUUUUUUUUUUAUUUGAGGGGAAAAGUAUUACAACUCUACGAGUAAUAAAAUUCCUCAAAGUAUUUUACUUUAAAAAAAGAAAAAAAAAAAAACUCUACAAGUGACAAAAUAAAAACUUGUUUAAAAAAAAACAACAAAAUAAAAACUUUACAGGUUUAUAUUGCUCGAUUCUUUCUCCCACUUAGAAAUGAUGAACCCUAACAUACCUCCAAUUGAUUAAUCGAAACUCCCAAAUUGAUUGCUCGAAUCUCCCAAAUUGAUUGCUCGAAUCUUUUAUUUCUCGAUUACUCAUUUCUGCUUGAUUCUCUUACGCCUGAAGUGCUUCCAAUUGAUACGAUAGAAUUGCUGGAUACAAUUCUCUCUGCUGCUCAAUUUUUGUUUGAGUAAUCGCCCAAAUCGAAAGUUUCAGGAAUCAAGAUCUAGAUGGACAUUAUGAGAAAGCUAGACAAGCUAAGCAAGGAUAGAACAAAAUAGAAUCAGAAUGAGGGAUUCGGGGGUUACAUUCAUGUUUUAUACACUGAAACAGUCGAUGAAGGGAUCGAAAUAAACAAAAAAAAAAAGUAAGAAGGUGACUAAAGAUACUGACGAGUAUACACCCGAUGAAAAAGGAGAAUUGAACCACUCAUGUGAAGAGGAUUAAAAUCAGAUAAGGAAAAACAGUGUAAACUUGAGGUCUCAUUAAAAAAAGCUGCUACUGUUGUUUUUUGCUAUUGAUUCUGCUACUUUUUGGUGCUACUGCUGUUUUUUUGCUGCUACUGCUCUUUGUUGCUGACUCUUGCUGGUGCUGUUUGCUGCCACUGCUUCCUGCCACUUUUAUUUGCUGCUACAUGAUGUCUGCUAGAAGCUCUGUUGCUGCUGCUGCAAUUAGUCUAGCAUUUGUUUCUUUUAAUUUUUUUUCACUUUUUUUAGAUAGAGAUCGAAGUUAAUUUUCUUUUUGUUUUGAUUAUCAUCUUGUUUG